rnacentral:tRNA from 2 species
GGGCGCUUAGCUCAGGGGGAGAGCGCUUCCCUGACGCGGAAGAGGUCAGAGGUUCAAAUCCUCUAGCGCCCA